rnacentral:rRNA from 1 species
UGUCAUAGCCUAACGGCUGAACCAGCAACUUGGGGGAAUGUAACAUAUGUCUUUAGGCAUAUCUGUAUCGACUAUGUCGAAUAAAGUUCUAGAUAGAAUACUGAUGAUGACAAUUUUCUAUCUAUAUGUCUUGACCAAAUCUCGUGCCAGCAGUCGCGGCAAUACGAGGAAGACUAGUGUUAUUCAUCUUUAAUAGGUUUAAAGGGUACCUAGACUGUACUUCUAGCCCCUAAAGGGUACGGAUGUACUAGAGUUUUAUGUGAGAGGUAUAUAUUAGUACUAUUGGUGUAGAGAUGAAAUUUUUUGAUACUACUAGGAACUGGUGGCGGCGAAAGCAACCCUUUAUGUAUAAACUGACGUUGAGGGACGAAGGCUUGGGUAGCGAAUAGGAUUAGAUACCCUGGUAGUCCAGGCAGACAAUUAUGAGUGCCAUAGACUAAAACAAAACAGUCUAUAAAUGAAAGUGUAAGCACUCCACCUCAAGAGUAAUGUGGCAACGCAGGAACUGAAAUCAUUAGACCGUUUCUGAAACCAGUAGUGAAGUAUGUUAUUUAAUUCGAUAAUCCUCGAAAAACCUUACCACAAUUUGAAUAUUAUUUGAUUAAUACAAGCGUAGCACGGAUGAUGUCUACAACAUGAAACCUGUGUAGGUAAAAAUCCCUUACACACAUCCAUUGCUGGUGUAGUUUUUAAUUAAUACAAGCGUUGCACGGCUGUCUUCAGUUAAUGUCGUGAGAUUUUGGUUAGAUCCAUUAAAUUAACGCAAACCCUUACUUUAUUUAUUAUUAAUAAAGUAGUUCACCGCUAUAUUGGAGAUGAUAAUAGGACUAAGACAAGUCAUCAUGGCCUUAUAUGUGGCA